UGGGGAAUAUUGCACAAUGGGCGCAAGCCUGAUGCAGCCAUGCCGCGUGUGUGAAGAAGGCCUUCGGGUUGUAAAGCACUUUCAGCGAGGAGGAAGGUGGUGAACUUAAUACGUUCAUCAAUUGACGUUACUCGCAGAAGAAGCACCGGCUAACUCCGUGCCAGCAGCCGCGGUAAUACGGAGGGUGCAAGCGUUAAUCGGAAUUACUGGGCGUAAAGCGCACGCAGGCGGUUUGUUAAGUCAGAUGUGAAAUCCCCGGGCUCAACCUGGGAACUGCAUUUGAAACUGGCAAGCUAGAGUCUCGUAGAGGGGGGUAGAAUUCCAGGUGUAGCGGUGAAAUGCGUAGAGAUCUGGAGGAAUACCGGUGGCGAAGGCGGCCCCCUGGANGAAGACUGACGCUCAGGUGCGAAAAGCGUGGGGAGCAAACAGAUUAGNUACCCUGGUAGUCCACGCUGUAAACGAUGUCGAUUUUGGAGGUUGUGCCCCUNAGGCGNGGNUUCCGAGCUAACGGUUAAAUGA
rnacentral:rRNA from 1 species